GAUGAACGCUAGCUACAGGCUUAACACAUGCAAGUCGAGGGGCAGCAUGGUCUUAGCUUGCUAAGGCCGAUGGCGACCGGCGCACGGGUGAGUAACACGUAUCCAACCUGCCGUCUACUCUUGGACAGCCUUCUGAAAGGAAGAUUAAUACAAGAUGGCAUCAUGAGUCACAUGUUCACAUGAUUAAAGGUAUUCCGGUAGACGAUGGGGAUGCGUUCCAUUAGAUAGUAGGCGGGGUAACGGCCCACCUAGUCUUCGAUGGAUAGGGGUUCUGAGAGGAAGGUCCCCCACAUUGGAACUGAGACACGGUCCAA
rnacentral:rRNA from 1 species